rnacentral:rRNA from 1 species
UACGUAGGGUGCAGGCGUUAUUCGGAAUUACUGGGCGUAAAGCGUGCGCAGGCGGUUUGUUAAGUCAGGUGUGAAAUCCCCGGGCUUAACCUGGGAACUGCGCUUGUUACUGGCAAGCUGGAGUGUGGCAGAGGGGGGUGGAAUUCCACGUGUAGCAGUGAAAUGCGUAGAGAUGUGGAGGAACACCGAUGGCGAAGGCAGCCCCCUGGGCUAACACUGACGCUCAUGCACGAAAGCGUGGGGAGCAAACAGG